rnacentral:ribozyme from 13 species
ACAAUCGAAAAAUACAAAAGACGAAAAAAAAAGGGAAAAGGGCUAAAGCAAAAAGAGUGAGAGGGUAAGUUAUGAUUAUGUUCCUUUCCUUUUAAUUUUUUUCUAUUUUAUCACUGCCCACUGCUUUGACUUUGACUAUCAGCGCUCUCUUCUUCUUCUAUAAUUGCCUUUUUAACAUUAUACGUAUCGUGGUUGAAAAGUCGUUCACGAAGAGCAAUGCUUUCAUUCGAGAGAAGAAAUAACUCAACACCUUCAGAAGUAAUCUUUUGAUCUAUGAUGUUCAGAAUG